rnacentral:rRNA from 1 species
GACGAACGCUGGCGGCGUGCUUAACACAUGCAAGUCGAGCGGUAAGGCCCUUUCGGGGGUACACGAGCGGCGAACGGGUGAGUAACACGUGGGUGACCUGCCCUCAGCUCUGGGAUAAGCCUGGGAAACUGGGUCUAAUACUGGAUAUGACUCCACGGUGCAUGUCGUGGGGUGGAAAGCCUUGUGCGGCUGAGGAUGGGCCCGCAGCCUAUCAGCUUGUUGGUGGGGUGAUGGCCUACCAAGGCGACGACGGGUAGCCGGCCUGAGAGGGCGACCGGCCACACUGGGACUGAGACACGGCCCAGACUCCUACGGGAGGCAGCAGUGGGGAAUCUUGCGCAAUGGGCGAAAGCCUGACGCAGCGACGCCGCGUGAGGGAUGACGGCCU